rnacentral:rRNA from 1 species
CAAUAGCGUAUAUUAAAGUUGUUGCGGUAGAAAAGCUCGUAGUUGGAUUUCUACCGAAGAUAGCCGGUCGGGUCUUCGACCUUGUAUCUGGUUUUGUCUUUGGUAUCCUCAUAGGGAACGUUUCUGCGCUUUAUUGCGUGGUGCGGUAUCUAUGACUUUUACUUUGAGGAAAUUAGAGUGUUCACGGCAGGCAAACGCCUUGAAUAUAUUAGCAUGGAAUAAUAACAUAGGAUCUUCGUCCUAUUUUGUUGGUUUCUAGGGCUAAGAUAAUGAUUAAUAGGGAUAAUUGGGGGCAUCUGUAUCAACGCGUCAGAGGUGGAAUUCUUGGAUUGCGUUGCGACAAACUACUGCGAAAGCAUUUGCCAAGGAUGUUUUCAUUGA